UUUAGCGUAUGUUAGAAAUUAUUCUCUUCAUAGAAUUUGCUUUUUACGAGAGGGUCUGUUAAACGCAACUUGAAAGAAGGAAAAAAAAAAGAGGGAAAUGAAAAAUGACCUGAGAGUUUUAUAUCUAAAUGCUCUUUCUCCUUCUUCAUAUUACUCGUUCUCUGUUUUCUCUCCCUUCCAUUCUCUGUUUAAUUACUGAGAGUUUCACUUAUAUAUAUGCUGAAUGUUCUACCCACUGAGUUAACUAAUGCUAACUAAGCCAGAUAAAUGUGUAAUGUUGAGUUGGCUCCUCUUUUUCUUGCUCCCCUCUCCGCGUUUUAGUAUUAAAGCAGCACAUUCAAUAACAACAACAAUAACAACAAUCAUAUGUAAAAUACAAUAGAGAAACGCAAAAAUGUUUGUUGUUGCUUUUUUAGCAAAUGUUUUCGUUACACAAAAACAAAAAACUAAAUGUGUGUAGUAGUGCACGAGUAUAUAAAUGAAAGGUUUCUGUGUGUGUGCGUGUGUGUGGACGAUAUACAUUUUAGUGUUUAUUGUGGACUUUUUAGAUUGAGAUACAUUUUUGGUGUAUGUACGUUCGCUCGUUACGUUUCGUACGUUUAACUCGUGCGCUUGUAAUUUUUGGCAAAAACUGUUUGGAUUAAAUCAAAAAGUAGACGUCAAUGCAAGUUUUAACCCAAAAAUCCAAAGUUAUCAUCCAAAUUCUAGACAACAA